AAUGGUUUUGUAUGUUUUUGUUUUAACUUGUGAACAAAGACUCAGUUGCAAGAAAAUAAAUCCUCUUUUGCAAUCCAGAACUCAUGGUUCAGUAUGAGUUUUGACACUCAUAAGAAGGAAUAUU
ensembl:snoRNA